AUUCAUCCGCACCCUCUCCCUCAUAAAUGAUUCUCCUCCUAUUUUUCUUAAUCACGAACUUUGUUCAAUGCGUGGGCUUGAAAUUUCUGCAAUUUCACAUGUCCCGCUCAAGGUAUCCGUAGUGAUUCUACAUUCAUGCACUCCAAAGUUCAAUUAUGAAGUAACAUUUUGAAUUGCUAAAAGUUCGUCGGCGACAACAUUGUUAAACCAUGAUUAUGGAUUCGAAAUCAUCUGUUCACAAUUUCAUCCAGAAAAAGUAUUUUUUACAAGGAGGAUCUGCGGGAUUCUUCUAAUGUAAUUGACGAAGGGAUUUUAUAUUCAGUAAUAAGAAACUUCUUUCAGGCAAUUCCUUGGCAAGAAUAAAAUCAAAUUUUCUUUUCUGGUGGGCCUAUGCUCCGUAGACUCCCGCUUUGAAGAUAUGUUGACGAAGGGGCUUCUUUUUUUUAAGUAUCCAAUGCCACACAUUGUUUAGAGCGUAGAAGCAAGCUUGGAUGUCAGUUAGCUUCAUUUUUUAAGUAUCCAACGUCACACAUUGUCUAGAGGUA